rnacentral:misc_RNA from 1 species
AAGUCGUAACAAGGUCUCCGUAGGUGAACCUGCGGAGGGAUCAUUAUUGAAUUUUCAACACAGAAGGGGCUUCUCUAGGGGGGUCCUUUCUGAACAAACAAACAUACAUGACUAGGAACAGAGAGUUUGGUGUGCUGUGUGUGUGUCGAAUGAGAAUGAGACAUCAACAGCAAAAGAAAAGUUCUUGGCUGAUAAAGUAACAUUGGUUUGGAAUGUACAAUCAAUACAACUUUCAACAACGGAUCUCUUGGCUCUCA